GACGAACGCUGGCGGCGUGCUUAACACAUGCAAGUCGAGCGGUAAGGCCCUUUCGGGGGUACGACGAGCGGCGAACGGGUGAGUAACACGUGGGUGACCUGCCCUCAGCUCUGGGAUAAGCCUGGGAAACCGGGUCUAAUACUGGAUAUGACUCCAUGACGCAUGUUGUGGGGUGGAAAGCCUUGUGCGGCUGAGGAUGGGCCCGCGGCCUAUCAGCUUGUUGGUGGGGUGAGGCCUACCAAGGCGACGACGGGUAGCCGGCCUGAGAGGGCGACCGGCCACACUGGGACUGAGACACGGCCCAGACUCCUACGGGAGGGCAGCAGUGGGGGAAUCUUGCGCAAUGGGCGAAAGCCUGACGCAGCGACGCCGCGUGAGGGAUGACGGCC
rnacentral:rRNA from 1 species